rnacentral:rRNA from 1 species
AUGGAGGAGAGGUGGGAGAAUCAGAUGCGGUUUCCGCCGACCAGGUCCUGCGCCAAGAGAUCAAGGGGGAUCUGGGAGGGGUCUCUUCAGGUCAAGGGCCCGUGUCAGCUCGAUCCAACACUGUUAUCUGCUCAAAGCUUGCUGCCUCUAUUGCCAAGAUGGGAAAACCGUUGGGUCGACAAAAGGGAGAAUGAACCUUGUCGACGGGCAAUCCAAGUGUUUAGUUUGAAUUUAUCGUCUCCUCACGAUGCCACCUUAGAGGUCUACGGCAUGUUUGCAUUCCGAGAUGUACGAAACAACCAACUACGCAACUAUGUCUUUGAAUACUCUAGAGACAAACCAUGUAAGCUUAAGCCGGGUUCUUGUAAGCUUCAACCUCUACUUAAUCCACUUCAAGGCAUCUACGCGGUUGGGCUUGUGCUAAUUGAAUAUCGUUUGCUAAUUAAAGAUGAAGAAGGUGAAGAUGAUAAGGUGUUAAUAGACGGAUAUUCGGUCUAUGCUCCAUCUUUCUAUGCAGAAUAUGAAAGACACCAUUGGCACAUUAACACUGGCCACCACGGCAGCGCCGAUCUAAGAAUGGCUUCUAUCCCAAAGGCCGUGUUGGCUAUGUUGGAGUUUGAGGUGCAUCAUCUUGGGAACAAUUUGUUUGAUUCACUUACAAUAACUGCGGUCUACCGUACCAUGCAAGGGGGUGCUUUUUCAGUCUUCAAUGGCAAGUUGAGUGUUUGCAGACUGCCACCGGUCAUGGUUUGUGUGGAUUACACCGAGAAUUUGACUAUAGACUUAUACACGCACAACCGUCACUCAGGUGAUGAUAAUUGCUAUCCUGAUGGCGUUGUUGGUGAUUCGAAAAUUCCCGGAUAUUUUCACUACGACAUUGAGGAUAUUAUAUUUGACACUGUGUGGUUUGAACCACAGAAGAGUGGAAGCUCUACGAAAAUUUCAAGUAAUAUGUACGGUCUUGUAAUGUCAGUGAAGGCCACAUGGUCUAGCUUGUGUGAACCAUGUCAGUAA